rnacentral:rRNA from 1 species
CGCGUGAGUGAUGAUGGCCUUAGGGUCGUAAAGCUCUUUCGCCAGGGAUGAUAAUGACAGUACCUGGUAAAGAAACCCCGGCUAACUCCGUGCCAGCAGCCGCGGUAAUACGGAGGGGGUUAGCGUUGUUCGGAAUUACUGGGCGUAAAGCGCACGUAGGCGGAUCGGAAAGUAAGGGGUGAAAUCCCAGGGCUCAACCCUGGAACUGCCUCUUAAACUCCUGGUCUUGAGUUCGAGAGAGGUGAGUGGAAUUCCGAGUGUAGAGGUGAAAUUCGUAGAUAUUCGGAGGAACACCAGUGGCGAAGGCGGCUCACUGGCUCGAUACUGACGCUGAGGUGCGAAAGUGUGGGGAGCAAACAGGAUUAGAUACCCUGGUAGUCCACACCGUAAACGAUGAAUGCCAGUCGUCGGGUAGCAUGCUAUUCGGUGACACACCUAACGGAUUAAGCAUUCCGCCUGGGGAGUACGGUCGCAAGAUUAAAACUCAAAGGAAUUGACGGA